UACGUAGGGUGCGAGCGUUGUCCGGAAUUACUGGGCGUAAAGAGCUCGUAGGCGGUUUGUCGCGUUGUUCGUGAAAACUCACAGCUCAACUGUGGGCGUGCGGGCGAUACGGGCAGACUGGAGUACUGCAGGGGAGACUGGAAUUCCUGGUGUAGCGGUGGAAUGCGCAGAUAUCAGGAGGAACACCGGUGGCGAAGGCGGGUGUCUGGGCAGUAACUGACGCUGAGGAGCGAAAGCGUGGGGAGCGAACAGG
rnacentral:rRNA from 1 species